GACGAACGCUGGCGGCGUGCUUAACACAUGCAAUUCGAACGGUAAGGCCCUUCGGGGUACACGAGUGGCGAACGGGUGAGUAACACGUGGGUGAUCUGCCCCGCACUUCGGGAUAAGCCUGGGAAACUGGGUCUAAUACCGGAUAGGACUCCUGGCUUCAUGGUUGGGGGUGGCAAGCUUUUGCGGUGUGGGAUGGGCCCGCGGCUGAUCAGCUUGUUGGUGGGGUAAUGGCCUACCAAGGCGACGACGGGUAGCCGGCCUGAGCGGGUGACCGGUCACACUGGGACUGAGAUACGGCCCAGACUCCUACGGGAGGCAGCAGUGGGGAAUAUUGCACAAUGGGCGCAAGCCUGAUGCAGCGACGCCGCGUGAGGGAUGACGGCCUUCGGGUUGUAAACCUCUUUCAGCUAUGACGAAGCGCAAGUGACGGUAGUAGCAGAAGAAGGACCGGCCAACUACGUGCCAGCCGCCGCCGUAACAC
rnacentral:rRNA from 1 species